AUGGACUUGGCAUGCACAAGAGAAAGAAUGGAGGAAAAGGCGUGGUGGAAAAAAACCAUAGGCAGGAUUUACUAUGCACAAACAAUGAGCGGUGAAAAAUACUACUUGAGAAUGUUGUUAAAUACCGUCAAAGGAUGCAGAUCAUAUGAAGAAAUUCGAACAGUUGAUGGGGUUGUACAUCCAACAUUCAAAGCCGCAUGUUAUGCUCUUGGGCUACUUAACGACGACAAAGAGUGGGAUGACUGCAUGAAGGAAGCAUCCCAUUGGGCCUCUGCUCCUCAAAUGCGCCAACUUUUCUGCACAAUACUUUUAUUUUCUGAGGUGACGGAUCUCGCAAAGUUGUGGCAAAAAAUUGGGAGUUACUAUCUGAGGAUAUCCAACGUCGGCAAAGAAGAAUAUUCAAUUUUCAGGCCCUGGAACUCAACUCGGCACAAAUAA
rnacentral:rRNA from 1 species